rnacentral:rRNA from 1 species
AUUGAACGCUGGCGGCAGGCCUAACACAUGCAAGUCGAACGAGUGGCGGACGUGUGUGUAAUGUCUGGGAACCUGCCUGAUGGAGGGGGAUAACUACUGGAAACGGUAGCUAAUACCGCAUACCUUCGGAUGUGCCCAGAUGGGAUUAGCUAGUAGGUGGGGUAAAGGCUAACCUAGGCGACGAACCCUAGCUGGUCUGAGAGGAUGACCGGCAAACCGGGAAUUGAGACAGGGCCCAGACUCCAACGGGAGGCAGCAGUGGGAAAUAUUGAACGAUGGGCGAAAGCCGGAUGCAGCAAUGCCGGGGGUAUGAAGAAGGCCUUCGGGUUGUAAAGUACGUUCAGCGGGGAGGCGUUACCCGAAGAAGAAGCAACGGCUAACUCCGUGCCAGCCGCCGCGGUAAUUC